CGUCAAAUCAUCACUGCCCCUUAUGGACCUGGGCUACAAACGUGAUACGAUGGCUGAAACAAGGGCAGCGAAGCAGUGAUAGUGGAGACGAAACCCCAAAAAAAGCAGUCUCAGUUCGGAUUGAAGUCUGCAACUCGACUUCAUGAAGUCGGAAUCGCUAGUAAUCGCGGAUCAGAACGCCGCGGUGAAUACCGGUUCUCGGGGUUU
rnacentral:rRNA from 1 species